rnacentral:tRNA from 1 species
UCUUCCUUGGUCUAGUGGUCAUGAUUUCCGCUUGUCAGUAUCCCACUAACGAGCGCGGGAGACCGGGGUUCGAUUCCCCGAGGGAGAG